rnacentral:rRNA from 1 species
GACGAACGCUGGCGGCGUGCUUAACACAUGCAAGUCGAACGGAAAGGCCCCUUUGGGGGUCCUCGAGUGGCGAACGGGUGAGUAACACGUGAGUAACCUGCCCUUGACUUCGGGAUAACUUCAGGAAACUGGGGCUAAUACCGGAUAGGAAUCCUUGCUGCAUGGUGGGGGUUGGAAAGCUUCGGCGGUUUUGGAUGGACUCGCGGCUUAUCAGCUUGUUGGUGGGGUAGUGGCUUACCAAGGCUUUGACGGGUAGCCGGCCUGAGAGGGCGACCGGCCACAUUGGGACUGAGAUACGGCCCAGACGCCUACGGGAGGCAGCAGUGGGGAAUAUUGCACAAGGGGCGGAAGCCUGAUGCAGCAACGCCGCGUGCGGGAUGACGGCCUUCGGGUUGUAAACCGCUUUCAGCAGGGGCGAAGCUUGUGGUGACGGUACCUGCAGAAGAAGCACCGGCUAACUACGUG